UAUUUUUGUGGCAUGAACAGUUUUCAGGUUUUUAAUACUCAUGAUCUGAAUAAGAGUAGUUUCUAAAAAGAUAUGAGUAUGGUAUGUCAUCAUGGACAGGAGAUGACUGCAUAAGACUGUAGUUUUGCCUUCUCGAAUUAGGUCUCUUGAGAAAAAAAAUCCAUCAUGCCUAUUAAAACCUAGUUAUGCUAUAUCUGUAAAGGUGUCAAAUGACUCAAUAAGGCUUUUUAUUUUGUCAUGGAGUUUUAUCAGGUGUGCUCUGAUUAUGUAUACAAAACUUUCCCUGAUCCCUGUUAGCCCUGUAAACACACCUAAAUGAAAGUCAAGGUUUCUUUUUCAACCCUACUGCUGUUAGUAAGAACACCACAGGCUAAAUUAUGCCCCCAUUUAUUUCUUUCUUAAACUACAUCUUUGGAUGAACUUGUCCAAAUCUGUUAGUUUUCAGCAGGAUUUGCAUAGGUGCAGCUGAGGACAGGCUGGCCUGCAGCAGUUUAUACUACUGCAGGUGACAGCACACGAAAACAUGCAUAAUCAACACAUGACCUGAGCAUCUCUGUCUUUUACCAUUUGUUUUCAGUAUCACAAAAUGAUAUGCUUGUCACUGCUUCAAUACAACUGGUUUAAUACAAAUGGAAUAAAUACUCUGUCACUGUAGCAAGAAAGAGUCUCUUUCUCUUCUAGAUCAAUUUCCUGCCAGUAGAAUAUUGCUAAAUACUGACUUUGGUGGUUUGACUAGUUUUAAAUUCUCCAAGCAUCAAGGCAUUGUUGUUAUUUAAAGACUAUUUCAUUUUAAUAACUUCUACUAGGGGGAAUUUGCAGUUCUCCUAAUUUUUAACUUUACAUUAGCUGAGCCUGCUCAUGUCACAGGGAGUAAACAACUAAAGAAACUUCAUUCUCUGUUGUCAGCUCAAAUUACUGUUAAAGCACAGCAAGUUGGUGUCCCUGCACUUACAGGAAUCAAAUUUCUUUAAGAGGUAUGGAGCACCUACAAAGUGUAUUUGGCUAUGUUUUGCUUGCUUUAAUCCCAUUUAGCAUCUUCACUUUAAAUAUAUCUUGCUGAGAAAAUGACUUUGGGUCCAAGACUGGCUUAGCAACUUUUGGAACUGCUUAAUCAGGCAGCUUGAGACGUGUUUUGGGCUAAACCCAAAUGAUGAAAUUAUGCUAUGGGUGCCUCAGUUCAUACCUGGGAAAUAAUGACUAUUUCAAAUACAGUUACCAUUCACUGAUGGGAGAAGGAGAUGAAGGUGAAUUUAUGCUUGCAGAAUCAGCUGUGCUAGAGGAGGGGUUAACACCUUUGUGACUGUGGCAGGUGUGUAGCUGAUUUCUGUGGGAAGGUUUUUUUGGGGAGGGAAGGUUUAAAUUCUGCCUGCCUGGGUAAAAAGCUGUUCUAGUAGUGGUUUCCUGAAGGAAAGGUGCUUUUGUCUUGCCCUAGCUUUACUUUUUUUCAGUGGUUUAUGAAUAAUAAAUUAAAUCAGAACAUAGUGUUGCAGAAAGACAGGAAUUGCUCUCUGUCUGGAAAAGAGAAUCAAAAGAGAACAUUGAUCAGUUUAUGAAGGCUGUCCUGAGAAACUGUAGAGCCUUCACUGAGGAACAGGAAACAGCAUCUGCUCAGUAUGCUCUUCAAGUGGUGAACACCUGCUCCUGGAGAGGUUCUCAAUUCUAUGCUGCCUACAAAACUCAGAACAAAACCAAGCAGGAUCCCGGAGGUAAGACUGUCAAAUUAAGAACAGUACCUGUAGGAGAAACAGUGCCUCUCGCUUGGGCUAGGAAAAGUACUCACCAGAUGAACAUGUUGUGGAUUGAAUCCAGGUUUCACAGAUCUAGUCUGGCGACCAGUCCAGAAGCUACAAGUAGUUACUUGGUCAGUUAGUUAAAGACUUUGGAUAAAUUAUUAGAAUAAUCUCCAGAACUGACACCCUAGGACCAGGCUUCAGUGUUCUUGUCCAGACAAAACCUAUUGUUUUAUUUUGCUAGGAUUAGAAUGAAAUAAGUGUGAAAUUCUAUACUGUGAAACUAAAUUUAUUUCUGUCCAUAACUAAUUAAGGUUUACAUCCCUAAUACCUGACAAGCUGGAUCCAUACUGAGAUCAAAAAUAAAGGGUGGAAAACCAGAAGACUAAUGAUUGCAAUUCUACUGGUUGGAUAGAGCAUAGCAUAUGAACAUGUGAAAGCCUAGGAUUAAAUUGAGGUUUGUGCCUCUGCUGUUCAACCUGCUGCCAUGGCUGAACUUGCUGCACUGUUCUCCAGACAUCCAGUCCUUGUUUUUUCAGUUUUUGUCAAUUACAGAAGUUUUCAUAACUCUCCUGCAACUGUAAAUAUUAAUGAUGAUUUAUGAAUUGUUGUGUGUGUGACACACAGGGAUUCAACACAAUCUUGCUAUGAAGUGUUUACUGUCUUACUGCGCAGUCAGUAAUGAGUUACUAUGUUUAAGUGAUGCAGAAGUAAUAGUCUGAAAAACCUCAGUAAGCCAUAGUAAGAGGCUGAAAUCUCAGCUCUUGUGAAUGGUAAUUAAAUAUUUUUAAGUACUCAGACUAGAGUGCUGAAAUUGUAUUAUUUCUAGCUCCUCCAACUUUUGCAUGGAUAUUAUCAUGUGGUUACAGUUUUCUUCUAACUGGAUCAAGAGAUUUUAAAGCUUACCUGGUUUGCGUAUGUCUCCCUUACUUCAGAGCCUGGGGUUUUCUAUCCUUACACAUCUAGCUGAAAUUUAAAAAAAAUAGUAUGCAUAUUUCAAA